CUACGGGCCGCAGCAGUGAGGAAUAUUGCACAAUGGGGGGAACCCUGAUGCAGCAACGCCGCGUGGAGGAUGACGCAUUUCGGUGUGUAAACUCCUUUUAUAUGUCAAGGAAAUGACGGUAGCAUAUGAAUAAGCACCGGCUAACUCCGUGCCAGCAGCCGCGGUAAUACGGAGGGUGCAAGCGUUACUCGGAAUCACUGGGCGUAAAGGACGCGUAGGCGGGUUGGAAAGUCAGGUGUGAAAUCCUACAGCUUAACUGUAGAACUGCACUUGAAACUUCUAAUCUAGAGUAUGGGAGGGGGAGAUGGAAUUAGUGGUGUAGGGGUAAAAUCCGUAGAUAUCACUAGGAAUACCUAAAGCGAAGGCGAUCUCCUGGAACAUUACUGACGCUAAGGCGUGAAAGCGUGGGGAGCAAACAGGAUUAGAUACCCGCGUAGUC
rnacentral:rRNA from 1 species